ensembl:lncRNA
AGACGCGUUUCUAAUCCCGAGAAACUUCCAAAGAACUUUCGAUAGAACUAAUGAAAGGAUAAGGUGUUUGUUCUGUAAUCUGUUUUAAGACCACCUCAACUCUCAUACACACCUUGGAUCGGCAAACAUCCCACCUUGAGGAUGUAAGAAGAUAUUUUAGAGGUGUCUUCUCUUUAUCACCACCCGAUGGUGCAUCUCGAAGGAUGCUGCUUACCUGUUCUCUUUAUCACCACCCAACGGACAGAUUUGAAUCGAUGGCAGACGGGCCCUCUAAACCCACUCCAACUUCUGUCUUUCUCUCAGCCCACUUGGGAUCUGCAGUGUAAUACACCGCAGACUAAAUCCGGUGAUACUCCUGCAGUAUUUGAAGCAUGGGUGGCUGCAUAAUGAGCAGAAGAAAAGAUCAUGAGCAAUGUUCAGCUUGGGAUAGAAUCGGGUGAUGUUUCAAAGCCGAAAAGAAGAAAAAAAGUUGGAUCCCUGUCAGACUUGAUCUACAGUUCAGAAAGCCCUCCAUACAGCCCCUGGAGCACAGUUUCCGUUCCCAGACAAGGGGGACUUUGACUCGCCUCACCCCAGCCACGGCAAGGGUACGUGGGCUAGGUGGCCCUCUAUGCAGCCCCUCGUUCCAAGUUAUGGAUCCAAAAUUCCAAGAAAAACACAAUCAUCUGAAUCGCAACAGCACGUAAAAAUGACAUCCCCUCCCGGGCCGAGGGGAGAGUGGAGGUUUGGCCCGGGCCCCCAUUUCAGAGUUUUCAGUUAUUUCGACCCCAGAUUCCUCCAGGGUCUCCGCCCUGCCGAGCUAGGCCGAAGAGGGUUUAGAUCUAGCAGCAUUUUAAAAAAAAUAUAUAUAUAUAUAUACAUUUUUUCAUAAUAUGUUAUAUGGUAACCUAUAGUUAACCAGUUAAUAGUUAUUUUACUGUCGCUAUCUUUUUCUGUAAAAAUCACAACCUUUUUUUUUAUUGAUUUAUUUUUUCCAAAAAAG